rnacentral:rRNA from 1 species
UACAGAGGGUGCGAGCGUUAAUCGGAAUUACUGGGCGUAAAGCGCGCGUAGGCGGCUUUGCAAGUCGGGGGUGAAAUCCCCAGGCUUAACCUGGGAACUGCAUUCGAGACUGCAUUGCUAGAGUAUGGGAGAGGGAAGUGGAAUUUCAGGUGUAGCGGUGAAAUGCGUAGAUAUCUGAAGGAACAUCAGUGGCGAAAGCGACUUCCUGGACCAAUACUGACGCUCAUGUGCGAAAGCGUGGGGAGCAAACAGG